CGUAGGGAACCUGCGGUUGGAUCACCUCCUUACCUAACGAUACGCAUUGCGCAGUGCCCACACAGAUUGUCUGAUGAAUGUAAACGAGCAAGAGCACCUGUUGAUGUUAUGAGUUUCGACUCAUGCUGAUACGAAACGGUUGAAUUUCGGUUUGAUCGGUAUUUUCGUGUCCCCAUCGUCUAGAGGCCUAGGACACUGCCCUUUCACGGCUGUAACAGGGGUUCGAAUCCCCUUGGGGACGCCAAUCCGAUAAUGAGUGAAAGACAUUAUCACCGGUUCUUUAUGAACUGAAAAAUAACGUAAAGAUGACUUUACCAAGUCGUGUUUACGAUAUUGCUCUUUAACAAUCUGGAACAAGCUGAAAAUUGAAACAUUACAGCUGAAAUUUACCCCGCCGUAGAUGUAUUGGGGUAAAGAGUAACCUGUAAUAGAGUCUCUCAAAUAAUCGCAA
rnacentral:misc_RNA from 1 species